rnacentral:snoRNA from 1 species
ACGUAUGCAUUGACGAGGCUUAUGUGGACUAGAGUUUCUGAAUCUGGUGGGUUUAAUUUUAAUCCCCCAGUUUCUGAAGACAACCCCUUGGCUGUCUGAGCAUAACU